GACGAACGCUGGCGGCGUGCUUAACACAUGCAAGUCGAACGAAGUGGCGAACGGGUGAGUAAUACGUGGGUAACCUGCCCUCCUUUUUGGGAUAAGCCUUGGAAACGGGGUCUAAUACCGAAUAAAGGGGGAUGGGCUCGCGGCGUAUGAGGUUGUUGGUGGGGUGAUGGCCUACCAAGGGGGUGAGGGGUAGCAGGCCUGAGAGGGUGACGGGCCAGAGUGGGAGUGCGGUACGGCACAGACGCCUACGGGGGGGAGCAGUGGGGGAUAGGGCAAAAUGGGCGAAAGCCUGGUGCGGUGAGGCCGGGAGGGGUUUGAAGGCUUACGGGUUGUAAACCUGGAUGGCGAUCGAACGGGUAGGUGGAGAAGAAGCACCGGCUAACUACGUGCCAGCAGCCGCGGUAAUAC
rnacentral:rRNA from 1 species